rnacentral:lncRNA from 1 species
GAACAAUUUUCCCUUUUCUCUCGCAUUGCAUCUUUUACAUUAGCUUAUGCCAUAACCUUCCAUAUGAAUGCUUCUGACAUUUUAUGCUGAGGCAUAUGAAAAUUGAUUAAGCUUCUCUAGGAAUGCUACCUUGUUUAGCAGUGUUUCUGCCUUCUUUUGAAAACAGAAAUGUGAAAUCUCCAAUCUGAGGGAAAGAUUCAUGAUGAUGAUCUGGGAGCUGCUAAAUCACCCACCUGCUUCCCCAGCUGACCAACAAAGAGGAAGAAUAUCAUACAGGUUAAUCCAGAGCAUGUGAUGCUUCAAUUUGUACUAACCUCAGAGAUGAUAACUUGCAGCUGUACUUUAAGGAGUGAGUUGAUGCAAGAUGGAGAGAGGAGAAGGAAAAGGGGCCUACCAAAAAAUAGGUGAAUAAGUCCUAUCUUUCAAUUGCUUACUAAAAGAAAAAAUGAAAAUAAACUAAUUGCUGAGACUGGUGAUGUGAGUAAA